CUAUUUAUUUUUAUAACUAUAUAUCUAUUUAUUUUUAACACAGUGUCCUUGUUCUUCUUUUUCUUCUUCUUCUUCUCCUUAUUAUUGUUAUUAUUAUUAUAGUUAUUAAUGAUAUUAAUAUCAUGUCUUUUAUUCAAAUGGGGAGGCCCCGGUGAAUUGAUGUUCUCUGAACAUUAUCGCAAAAAAAGUUUUCACAUUUGGUGGUUUUUCAGGCAUUUCAAAAAAGGAAUAUUUCGCAAAACUGCAAUGGAAAGUUUUUGCGCAUUUACAGUCACCUGACUUAGAAGACGAGGUGUGUUUGGGGUCCGUGUAUAAUAAUAAUAAUUAUCAUCAUUAUUAUAACAUUUAUUAGGCUACAUACUGGGCCGCAUUAAUGCACGGGCUUACCUGGGCUUAAGCCCAGGGCCCCGGGCUGAGGGAGGGCCCCGGUGAUGCCGGAAAAAAUAUAACCGCAUUUUAUAAUGUGAUGACUGUCCCUUUAACAUCGCUUUGAUUUGAAUACAUGUGCUGUUCUGCGCGUGAAGUUCAUUACGACGCGCCGUGUCUAGCAGCAAGCAACUAGUAUCAGUAUCUGGACAAUGCGGACAGACCCAGUCGCGCUGCCUGUGUGCGUACACAACGCGUUUUUGCUUUGAAAAACGCGAGAUGCGGGCAGUGGAAUGGGGGAAACCGCAAGGUCUUGAGACGCUUUUUAAAACUUUUAAACUUUUAACUUAGCUGAACUGAUUCAUGGCUUUAGAACACCAUGUCAUGCAUCAAGACGCGAGCGCAGCGGUUCUGCACAUCCUUCUAGCGCAUGUUUACAUAGAAAAACAAAGAAAAAGUAGCGCAGAAAAGCGCGUUCUGUGUGAACAGCCCCAAAGAAGACAAUGUGUUCGAAAUUUUAAAGACGUGGUGCAGCGCUACUGUAGAAGAGGAAAGUCAACUGCGCCAUCUUCUGGACACUUUUAGGCAUUCAGGUUAACAAGCAUCCAGGCCACCAUAGUUAUCAUGCACUGAUCAGCCAAUCAAAUCACCGCAUUGUAGGGUGACUGUUAAAUAGAACCGUAAGUUUCGUUUUUGCUUAGUCAGAAAGAGAUGGUUCUUGUGUUGUUUUCUGCCGAUUCCUGUCGAAGUUGUGUGCGUUAAUGACCAAAAGGACAGAUGAGCACAAGUGUUUAUCCAGUGGAAAGAGACUGAUGAAGGAAUGCUGCCAUCAAAGGCUCUGAAGCUUUUGUGGUGGAGCAGAGCCUGCAAGGUAAGGUGACGGCGGCAUUUGUGGACAAAAAAAAACCUGAAGCAUAUAAAGAUGUGAAAUGUCCUGGGACUGGUGUGAGCACUGAGGAUGGAGAGUCACAGCAGCAUCCUGGAAAUGGUAUAGUGACAUGGAUGAGACCCUCCAUCAUUCCACCUGCCCUUAUUUCCUCAUCUGGCCCGGAUGUUGCUGUGGUCUCUUCAUCCUCAGUGAGUCCAGAGUCAGCGAGAGCAUCUAGAAAAAGACCAAAGGACAAUGAGGAUGUGAUUUUGGUCAAGUUUGUUCUGCUGGUUUCUGUUCAUACACUGGAGCCCAACUUUCAUGAGCUUCAAAAACAUCAUCAAAUAAUGUCAUGAAGCUUCUGGAAGUCAGGUAGGUUCUUUUGACUGAUAUUGUAUGAAUAGAAACUAGCAGGACAAACUUGACCAAAAUUGUGUUCAGAAGAAGAAGAAACAGGGAUUGAACAGCGUGAAGGGAUGAUCCGAGUGGAUCAACCUGGAGUAAAGUGUCUUGCUCAAGGACACACUGGUGGUGAUGCUGCGGAGAUCAAACCACAAACUUCUGCUGCUUACCAGUUCAAUGGUUUAGCUCACUACACCACAAUAAUAAAGCUACAACAAAAAAUAGCAUGUAAUUGUAAAAAUACACUAUAUUGCGAAAAGUGUCGCCUGCCUUUACGUGCACAUGAACUUUAAUGACAUCCCAUUCUUAAUCCGUAGGGUUUAAUAUAGAGUUGGCCCUCCCUUUGCAGCUAUUACAGCUUCAACUCAAUUGUGAAGGCUUUCCCCAAGGUUUAGAAGUGUGUCUAUAGGGAUUUUUGACCAUUCUUCUAGAAGUGCAUUUGUGAGGUCAGGCAGUGAUGUUGGCAAGAAGGCCUGGCUCGCAGUCUCCGCUUUAAUUCAUCCCAAAGGUGUUCUUUCAGGGUGGGGUUAGGGCUGGGCGACAUGGCAAAAAUGUAAUCUCGAUCAUUUUUUCGCAUAUCGAUAGAUAACGAUAUAUAUUUCGAUAUAUAAACUGUUAAUGCUGCCAGCUUUAAAAGAGUAUCCCAACUAUGACUGAAGCCACAAAAAUUUGAGGGUUUAUUAAUUACAUUUUAAAAGUAUAGUUUAUUAACAAAAAUAGAUUACACAUUUGACCUUAAAAAAUUAAGACAACUUACUAACUUAGUGUGUGACUUUUAAUUAUAAACAAGCCUGAAAUACACCGGGGACUUUACACAAUUGCAGGCUGGUCCUUCAGAUUCUUACAACCAUCUAAAACACUUUAUAUAAAGGCCAUAAGGUAGACAUUGUCAUAAUUCAUCAACUUGAGUUAAUUAGCAAUCGCUUGGCAUAAAUCUGCACUUUUCAUUAAUUGAGAAUCACUUUGAAGCAGCCUGAAGCACUGUUGUGUGAGCCUGUGGAAGUGUAGAACGUGCAACAAUGCCGUCUUGUGACUUUGCAACAUGCAGCGCUCUUUGUGAAAUAUCCACCGCAUCUCUGCAGAGCACGUGGGAAUGUCAGCGGGAGUGAACAGUUCUGACGCACACAUAACAAGCAGGCACGAAACAGGUAGGGCGAGGUAAGAUUUUCCACUAGUUAAUCGAUUGCGGAUGGUUUCAUUAUCUUGGGCGGAUACAAAAGUAUUAGAGGAUAAAAAUAAUAAAAGCAUAAAUGUGUCUCCAAAUACUUGAGCAGCCGUUAAAGUCCGCGUGAACCGGAAGUUGCAAACGACUUUUCUCCAGUGCUGUGACGUAUUUCCAAGUGAAACGGAAUAUUGAAUAGAGGGCAGAGUUUUAUUUUAGCACUCCUCCUCUCCAUCUCUCGCUCAUA